rnacentral:rRNA from 1 species
UACGGAGGGUGCAAGCGUUGUCCGGAAUCACUGGGCGUAAAGGGCGCGUAGGCGGCUCGGUAAGUAGGGGGUGAAAUCCUGCGGCUCAACCGCAGGGCUGCCUUCUAAACUGUCGAGCUCGAGCACGGUAGAGGCAGAUGGAAUUCCCGGUGUAGCGGUGGAAUGCGCAGAUAUCAGGAGGAACACCGGUGGCGAAGGCGGGUCUCUGGGCCGAUACUGACGCUGAGGAGCGAAAGCGUGGGGAGCGAACAGG